AUAUAGGUUGGUGCAAAAGUAAUUGCAGUUUUUGCCAUUGGAAAUAAUGGCAAAAAUCACAAUUGCUUUUGCAUCAACCUUAUAAAA
rnacentral:miRNA from 10 species